GUCUGGGAAACUGCCUGAUGGAGGGGGAUAACUACUGGAAACGGUAGCUAAUACCGCAUAACGUCGCAAGACCAAAGAGGGGGACCUUCGGGCCUCUUGCCAUCGGAUGUGCCCAGAUGGGAUUAGCUAGUAGGUGGGGUAACGGCUCACCUAGGCGACGAUCCCUAGCUGGUCUGAGAGGAUGACCAGCCACACUGGAACUGAGACACGGUCCAGACUCCUACGGGAGGCAGCAGUGGGGAAUAUUGCACAAUGGGCGCAAGCCUGAUGCAGCCAUGCCGCGUGUAUGAAGAAGGCCUUCGGGUUGUAAAGUACUUUCAGCGGGGAGGAAGGGAGUAAAGUUAAUACCUUUGCUCAUUGACGUUACCCGCAGAAGAAGCACCGGCUAACUCCGUGCCAGCAGCCGCGGUAAUACGGAGGGUGCAAGCGUUAAUCGGAAUUACUGGGCGUAAAGCGCACGCAGGCGGUUUGUUAAGUCAGAUGUGAAAUCCCCGGGCUCAACCUGGGAACUGCAUCUGAUACUGGCAAGCUUGAGUCUCGUAGAGGGGGGUAGAAUUCCCAGGUGUAGCGGUGAAAUGCGUAGAGAUCUGGAGGAAUACC
rnacentral:rRNA from 1 species